rnacentral:lncRNA from 1 species
UACCUACAAGCAAGCAGGUGUUCUUUUCAGAAGCCAGAAGCUGAUAACCUGGGCUUUCUGAUCUAACCCCAGCCCAAAUUCUUUGCAAUGGAGGAAUGGGGAGGAGAUUCUUCCUACUGAGAAGUGGGUGCCAACUCUCCCUUUCAAAUUUGUUCAUCAACAAACUAAAGGGGAUGCCAGAAAUGUCUGGAGCAAUGGAAGAACCACUGGAAUAAUGCUCCUGCCUGAUUGCAUCUACUUAACCCACUCUCCAAGAGCUAGAAUCAGAUUUCAACCGUAUGGAAUCAUCUACAAUGCAGCAGAUGGGUUUACAAGUCUCUUGGUCUCUUCGUGAAGAAGGAGUAGCAAUCGUGUCCCAAGUCCUUGAGGACUUCACAGGGCAUUCCAAUGUCCUGAGAAUAUACCUGCCUAAGGCACUGUGGUGGGAUUCUGCCAUUCGAGAAUCUCAGACUAAGAUCAUCUGUUUCAAUAAGCAUUGAUCAAGCACCCACAUUGCAGCUGGCACUCCGCUUGAUGGUGAGAUGAUCGUCAAGACCAGUUCCUUAUUUUACAGGGAAGGCCGUCAAGGUUCAAAGUGGGAAUUUCCCAAGGUCAGAGACAGAGUGGCAGAGCCAGUCCAUGCACUCUGGUCUCCUGUCUCCCGUUCCAGUGCUCAUUCGUGACACUGCUGCUGUCUCCCAACACUUCAUCCCACGAGAAUACUCUUGAGAAUAUUGUUCUUGGCUGUUCCAAAUAGGAAGAUCAUCUGUCCAUU